ensembl:lncRNA
AAAUGAUAGAGGUCAAAAACACAAUGCAAACGAGCGGGACCCAAACUGACCUCAGAGAUGACCCCUCUCCUGUUGAGAAACCUGCCAAGAAUGAACAGAAUCCCAUCACCGCAGAGACUGCUGAAAAACUGGCCUGUGUGGCCUGAAGUUUGCUAAGUAUGUGGCGUGUUCUGUACUCACACAGAAAGGCAUAAAGAAUGUAUUUAACGAAACAAUUUUGGCUGCCCUGGAGACGCCAGAACCGAAGAACAGCCACAGGUGUGUGCUGCUAUCAACAACUCUCCAGGAGUGUUUCUGCAUAGCUGGUGUCCGCAUGAUCCUACAAGCAAUGUUUCAAUCAAACUAAGGGUUACAAAUUAAAAUUUGUUUGUGCAAUAAUAACAAAACUGCACCUACUUGCGUGUACUUACGUGAGACAAGGCCCAUAGAUGUGGCCUCCUUCCCUCUCUCAAUGCCAGUGAA